rnacentral:rRNA from 1 species
CCUACGGGAGGCAGCAGUGAGGAAUAUUGGUCAAUGGACGAGAGUCUGAACCAGCCAAGCAGCGUGAAGGAUGACUGCUCUAUGGGUUGUAAACUUCUUUUAUAUGGGAAUAAAAUGUUCCACGUGUGGGAUUUUGUAUGUACCAUAUGAAUAAGGAUCGGCUAACUCCGUGCCAGCAGCCGCGGUAAUACGGAGGAUCCGAGCGUUAUCCGGAUUUAUUGGGUUUAAAGGGUGCGUAGGUGGAUUGUUAAGUCAGUUGUGAAAGUGUGCGGCUCAACCGUUAAAUUGCAGUUGAAACUGGCAGUCUUGAGUACAGUUGAGGUAGGCGGAAUUCGUGGUGUAGCGGUGAAAUGCUUAGAGAUCACGAAGAACUCCGAUUGCGAAGGCAGCUCACUGGACUGUAACUGACACUGAGGCUCGAAAGUGUGGGUAGCAAACAGGAUUAGAUACCCCAGUAGUC